CCUACGGGUGUGCAGCAGUGAGGAAGAUUGGGCAAUGGGCGGGAGCCUGAACCAGCCAUGCCGCGUGAAGGCGAGUGCCCUACGGGCGUUAAACUUCUUUUGUGCGGGAGAAAGAAGGGCCACGUGUGGACCGAUGAGAGUACCGCACGAAUAAGCAACGGCUAACUCCGUGCCAGCAGCCGCGGUAAUACGGGGGAGGCGAGCGUUCUCCGGAUUUCUUGGGUUUAAAGGGUGCGUAGGCGGGGCUUCAGGUCAGCGGGGAAAUACCGGGGCUCAACCCCGGGGCUGCCGUUGAAACCGGUGCGCUAGAUUUCCGCUGCCGUCGGAGGACUGUGUGGUGUAGCGGUGCAAUUCAUAGCUAUCACCCAGAACACCGAUUGCGAAGGCAUCUCACGAAUCGGAGAUUGACGCUGAUGCACG
rnacentral:rRNA from 1 species